rnacentral:rRNA from 1 species
GACGAACGCUGGCGGCGUGCUUAACACAUGCAAGUCGAACGGAAAGGCCCUGCUUUUGUGGGGUGCUCGAGUGGCGAACGGGUGAGUAACACGUGAGUAACCUGCCCUUGACUUUGGGAUAACUUCAGGAAACUGGGGCUAAUACCGGAUAGGAGCUCCUGCUGCAUGGUGGGGGUGGGAAAGUUUCGGCGGUUGGGGAUGGACUCGCGGCUUAUCAGCUUGUUGGUGGGGUAGUGGCUUACCAAGGCUUUGACGGGUAGCCGGCCUGGGCGGGUGAGCGGCCACAUUGCGACUGGAAUACGGCCCAGCCUCCUCCGGGAGGCAGCAGUGGGGAAUAUUGCACAAGGGGCGGAGGCCUGAUGCAGCAACGCCGCGUGCGGGAUGACGGCCUUCGGGUUGUAUACCGCUUUCGCCUGUGACGAAGCGUGAGUGACGGUAAUGGGUAAAGAAGCACCGGCUAACUACGUG